UACGAACCGAGCGAACGUUGUUCGGAAUCACUGGGCUUAAAGGGCGCGUAGGCGGGUUCUCAAGUCCGGGGUGAAAUCCCACAGCUCAACUGUGGAACUGCCUCGGAUACUGGGUGCCUCGAGGGUGGUAGGGGUAUGCGGAACUAUCGGUGGAGCGGUGGAAUGCGUUGAUAUCGAUAGGAACUCCGGUGGCGAAGGCGGCAUACUGGACCACAUCUGACGCUGAGGCGCGAAAGCCAGGGGAGCGAACGGG
rnacentral:rRNA from 1 species